rnacentral:rRNA from 1 species
UACAGAGGGUGCGAGCGUUGUCCGGAAUCACUGGGCGUAAAGGGCGCGUAGGCGGCUUCCCAAGUCAGGGGUGAAAUCUUUCGGCUUAACCGGAAAAGUGCCUCUGAUACUGGGCGGCUCGAGGGGGGUAGGGGCAGGCGGAACUUCCGGUGGAGCGGUGAAAUGCGUUGAUAUCGGAAGGAACGCCGGCGGCGAAAGCGGCCUGCUGGACCCCUUCUGACGCUGAGGCGCGAAAGCCAGGGGAGCAAACGGG